UAACACAUGCAAGUCGAACGGACCUAGCCCGGUAGUAAUAUUGGGCGACGGUUAGUGGCGAGCGGGUGAGUAACGCGUGAGCAACCUGCCUUUCAGAGGGGGAUAACAACUGGAAACAGUUGCUAAUACCGCAUAAUGUAUUUAGAUGGCAUCAUUUGGAUACCAAAGGUUAAGUCCGCUGAGAGAUGGGCUCACGUCUGAUUAGCUAGAUGGUAGGGUAAGGGCCUACCAUGGCUGCGAUCAGUAGCCGGUCUGAGAGGAUGAACGGCCACAUUGGGACUGAGACACGGCCCGGACUCCUACGGGAGGCAGCAGUGGGGAAUAUUGGGCAAUGGGCGCAAGCCUGACCCAGCAACGCCGCGUGAAGGAAUAAGGCCUUCGGGUUGUAAACUUCUUUUAUUAGGGACGAAGGAUGUGACGGUACCUAAUGAAUAAGCCACGGCUAACUACGUGCCAGCAGCCGCGGUAAUACGUAGGUGGCAAGCGUUGUCCGGAUUUACUGGGUGUAAAGGGCGCGUAGGCGGGAAUGCAAGUCAGAUGUGAAAUCCAUGGGCUCAACCCAUGAACUGCAUUUGAAACUGUGUUUCUUGAGUGAUGGAGAGGCAGGCGGAAUUCCUAGUGUAGCGGUGAAUGCGUAGAUAUUAGGAGGACACCAGUGGCGAAGGCGGCCUGCUGGACAUCAACCGACGCUGAUGCGCGAAAGCGCGGGGAGCAAACAGGAUUAGAUACCCUGGUAGUCCGCGCCGUAAACGAUGAAUACUAGGUGUGGGGGGACUGACCCCUUCCGUGCCGGAGCAAACGCAAUAAGUAUUCCACCUGGGGACUACGGUCGCAAGACUAAAACUCAAAGGAAUUGACGGGGGCCCACACAAGCAGUGGAUUAUGUGGUUUAAUUCGAAGCAMCGCAGAGCCCUUACCGGGGUUUGACAUCCGACUAGCGAAGCAGAGAUGCAUUAGGUGCCUUCGGGAAAGCGAGACAGGUGGUGCAUGGUUGUCGUCAGCUCGUGUCGUGAGAUGUUGGGUUAAGUCCCGCAACGAGCGCAACCCUUGUUGUUAGUUGCUACGUAAGAGCACUCUAACGAGACUGCCGUUGACAAAACGGAGGAAGGUGGGGACGACGUCAAAUCAUCAUGCCCCUUAUAUCCCGGGCUACACACGUAAUACAAUGGCGUUUAACAACGGGAAGCGAAGGAGCGAUCCGGAGCGAAUCCCCAAAAGGCGUCUCAGUUCGGAUUGCAGGCUGCAACUCGCCUGCAUGAAGUAGGAAUUGCUAGUAAUCGCGGAUCAGCAUGCCGCGGUGAAUACGUUCCCGGGCCUUGUACACACCGCCCGUCACACCAUGAGAGUCGGGAACACCCGAAGUCGGUAGUCUAACCUGAUAAGGAGGGCGCCGCCGAAGGUGGGCUUGAUAAUUAGGGUG
rnacentral:rRNA from 1 species